AACGAACGCUGGCGGCAUGCCUAACACAUGCAAGUCGAACGAGACCUUCGGGUCUAGUGGCGCACGGGUGCGUAACGCGUGGGAACCUGCCCUUAGGUUCGGCAUAACUCCCCGAAAGGGGUGCUAAUACCGGAUAACGUCCUCGGACCAAAGAUUUCUCGCCUUUGGAUGGGCCCGCGUUGGAUUAGCUUGUUGGUAGGGUAAAAGCCUACCAAGGCGACGAUCCAUAGCUGGUCUGAGAGGAUGAUCAGCCACACUGGGACUGAGACACGGCCCAGACUCGUACGGGAGGCAGCAGUGGGGAAUAUUGGACAAUGGGCGAAAGCCUGAUCCAGCAAUGCCGCGUGAGUGAUGAAGGCGUUAGGGUUGUAAAGCUCUUUUACCCGGGAUGAUAAUGACAGUACCGGGAGAAUAAGCUCCGGCUAACUCCGUG
rnacentral:rRNA from 1 species